CUCGGGUGACGAGUGGCGGACGGGUGAGUAAUGUCUGGGGAUCUGCCCGAUAGAGGGGGAUAACCACUGGAAACGGUGGCUAAUACCGCAUAACGUCGCAAGACCAAAGAGGGGGACCUUCGGGCCUCUCACUAUCGGAUGAACCCAGAUGGGAUUAGCUAGUAGGCGGGGUAACGGCCCACCUAGGCGACGAUCCCUAGCUGGUCUGAGAGGAUGACCAGCCACACUGGAACUGAGACACGGUCCAGACUCCUACGGGAGGCAGCAGUGGGGAAUAUUGCACAAUGGGCGCAAGCCUGAUGCAGCCAUGCCGCGUGUAUGAAGAAGGCCUUCGGGUUGUAAAGUACUUUCAGCGGGGAGGAAGGCGAUAAGGUUAAUAACCGUGUCGAUUGACGUUACCCGCAGAAGAAGCACCGGCUAACUCCGUGCCAGCAGCCGCGGUAAUACGGAGGGUGCAGCGUUAAUCGGAAUUACUGGGCGUAAAGCGCACGCAGGCGGUCUGUUAAGUCAGAUGUGAAAUCCCCGGGCUUAACCUGGGAACUGCAUUUGAAACUGGCAGGCUUGAGUCUCGUAGAGGGGGGUAGAAUUCCAGGUGUAGCGGUGAAAUGCGUAGAGAUCUGGAGGAAUACCGGUGGCGAAGGCGGCCCCCUGGACGAAGACUGACGCUCAGGUGCGAAAGCGUGGGGAGCAAACAGGAUUAGAUACCCUGGUAGUCCACGCCGUAAACGAUGUCGACUUGGAGGUUGUUCCCUUGAGGAGUGGCUUCCGGAGCUAACGCGUUAAGUCGACCGCCUGGGGAGUACGGCCGCAAGGUUAAAACUCAAAUGAAUUGACGGGGGCCCGCACAAGCGGUGGAGCAUGUGGUUUAAUUCGAUGCAACGCGAAGAACCUUACCUACUCUUGACAUCCACRGAAUUUGGCAGAGAUGCCUUAGUGCCUUCGGGAACCGUGAGACAGGUGCUGCAUGGCUGUCGUCAGCUCGUGUUGUGAAAUGUUGGGUUAAGUCCCGCAACGAGCGCAACCCUUAUCCUUUGUUGCCAGCGAUUCGGUCGGGAACUCAAAGGAGACUGCCGGUGAUAAACCGGAGGAAGGUGGGGAUGACGUCAAGUCAUCAUGGCCCUUACGAGUAGGGCUACACACGUGCUACAAUGGCGCAUACAAAGAGAAGCGACCUCGCGAGAGCAAGCGGACCUCAUAAAGUGCGUCGUAGUCCGGAUCGGAGUCUGCAACUCGACUCCGUGAAGUCGGAAUCGCUAGUAAUCGUGGAUCAGAAUGCCACGGUGAAUACGUUCCCGGGCCUUGUACACACCGCCCGUCACACCAUGGGAGUGGGUUGCAAAAGAAGUAGGUAGCUUAACCUU
rnacentral:rRNA from 1 species